GAUAACCGAGCUAGGAUCAAGGAAAACAACUCGAUCAGGGCCAAGAAUUGAAAUCUCUUUUGAAGGUGACGUGUUUUAUCAUACUCUAAUCCAUUAUAUAUAUAUAUAUAUAUAUAUAUAUAUAUGCAAGUUUUUAUUUUCUAGUUUCUUAUUUGUUACUAUUCGAGCAUAUGUGAAUGAUAUUAAACCUUUAUUUCUUCUUUUGAAGCUUCUAAGUGAAUGUGAAUACUCAAUUGUAAGAAGAUGAUUAUGGAGUUCUUGGUGAUGGGAUUUGGUUGGUUAUAUAAUGGCUUCCAAGUAUUCAUCAACUUUACCAACUUGUUUGGCAUUGAACAUUUCUUUUGUCGUAGUUGUUGUUUUCUACAGUGUAAGGAAAGCACUCAAUCGAGCUAAAGCAAAUGCACCUAAAGUGUAGCUACUGUCGAGUGAUGUUGCAAGGCAUAAUGUCAGCUUUCAGCUUAUUGAGUGGUCCACUUCAAGUAAGCCUUUUAACGAGUUUUUUGUUUUACUGGGAUAAGAAAACUCGUUGUAAAUUCAAAAUGCCAGAUGCGUCUCAGAAUGUUCGCCUUCCUGGCUCAGGAUAAGGAGAAAUGGCCCAUUGAUCUUUAUUCCAAACAUUUUCAAUGAGUGGAAGCUGCUUUCUAUACUGAUCACUUCAAGCACCUAAUUUUAAGCUUAGAAUAUCUAGACAUUGAAAUCUUGAUUUGUCUGCUACAUCCAUCUUAAUGUAUCAGUAUUCAUCUUUUUGAUGUUGCCAAGUUCAAAGAAUCUAGAUUAUUUUUAAAAAAAUUGUAUCAAGUCAUGAUUAAAUAAGGAAUAAU
rnacentral:lncRNA from 1 species